GGGAUUUAUUACGUCUGGCCUGCCCACUGAUUUUUAAAUGGCCGCGGUAUUUUGACCGUGCAAAGGUAGCAUAAUCAUUUGUCUCUUAAUUGGAGGCUGGUAUGAAUGGUUUGAUGAGAAGAGGUCUUUAUUAUUUUAAUUUAUUGAAUUUAAUUUUUGAGUCAAAAAGCUUAAAUUUAUUUAUGGGACGAGAAGACCCUAUAGAACUUUACUUAUUAUAUUUAUUAAUUAUUUUGGGUUUUAAUUUUAUUAAUAAUUAUCAUAAGUUGGAUUGGGGCGAUUUUGAGGAAGAUUUAACCCUCAAAUAUUUAUUUCAUUAAUUUUUGUUAUUUUGAUCCAUUAUUGUUGAUUAUUAGAUUAAGUUACCUUAGGGAUAACAGCGUAAUUUAUUUAGAGAGUUCAUAUCGAUAAAUAAGGUUGCGA
rnacentral:rRNA from 1 species